GUGCUUGCUUCAGCAGCACAUAUACUAAAAUUGGAAUGACACAAAGAAGAUUAGCAUGCCCCUGUGCAAGGAUGAUGCGCAAAUGUGUGAAGUGUUCCAUGUUUUU